rnacentral:lncRNA from 1 species
UCAUGUCAGAUUACCAAAUGUUUGAAGAGUAUUGAGAAGUUAGUUCACAAAGCGUUUUGAUGUCAAGCAGAACUUGUAGGAACAUCCUCAUCAGAAGGAGGCUGCAUUGGUCUUUUAGCUCGAGGUGGUGGUUGUGGCUUUGGUGGCGGUGGUGGUGGUCUCUUUGGUUUCACCUUAUUGACUUCCUCAGAUUCAACUUCAAACUGUACGAUGACAGAAACAGUGCGUUAAGAAGAAGAAAAAAUUGCAAAAUCAUCAAAAUGAGGGUUGAAACAUGGAUAUCAAACCUUGUAACCACAGCCUGCGACACAUGCAUGAAAGCAUUCCUGAGUUGUAUAAAACAGGGGACAUAUAUAAAAAAAGUUAGAUACAGUACAGUUCUUCAGUCUACUACUACUCUGUUUAAGAAAAAGGUUUUUGUUUCAAAUACCUCAGAGUAGCUGGCAGCUCCAGGAGAACGAUCUAUAUAAGCACUCCAUUGUCGGUCUUUUAGCACAGGAUCUUUGUAGCAUAUCUCACUGCAAUCUGACACACCUAUAAAGAGCACACACUAUUACACCAAUUCAUUAAGUAGGAAAUAAAAACCUAUACAAAGAGGAGGAGAUGCCUUCAUGAACAUAUAUAAUGUAAUGUAAGAGACACGUUUGGUUUUAUAAAGUUGCAUAGUGAGGAUAGAUGUAUCUCUACUCCUCAGUUCAUUAACAAUUUCAUCACGGAUUUUCAGAGAUUAGAGAGAAAUGGCUUACAAUCUUCCCAUGAGUCACUAUCGGCAUCACAUCCCUUUUUGCAGAAUACUCUCCCUACAACACGGAUUCAGGGUAAUCAUCAGAGCCUAAACUGAUGAUAAGGCGUAAAAAGGGUUUCUAUAAUCCUGAAAGAGAGUGCUAUUUCAACUAGCUUCUCUGAUGGUGAAUGGAAUUGAGAGAUAAAAAACGUAAAACUCUCAUCAGAAACGUCCAAAGCAAGUCGUUUUACUAAAGUCCAGAGAAUCAACAUCGAUGCGGAAGCAUCUUUACUACACUUGUUCAACUUAUCUUCCUCUCCUAUUAACCAUUUUCACAUAUAUAUGAGCUUGAAGAACUCUGCAUAAUCCCCCUUAUACUCGAUGGAGACAUGCCACAUUCUAUAAUAUAUAUUAUUAACCAAGAAGCAAGACGGUGUUCUUUUAACACUUGCAACUACUACAAUGAGUUUUCUCUGGACCAAUCUUCAUCUAACCAAAGAAGUGAUCAUCCUCCAAACCUCUCAGUAAAGUAGUAUGAUCGCUAACAACAAUUGAUUAGGCUUAAUAACCUGACAAUAACAUUUCCCCAAACAAAAAUGUAGACCAAUGAACUUCCUUCUGAAUCUAACAUUAUCCAGAAAUUAGAAACCUAAUCCACAUAUCAAAAUCGAUUUCAAAUAAUUUACCAGAUUAACAGCGAUUGUAAUCAUUUCAUAGCUAAACCAUCCAAACAAAUGAGCCAACAAUGGAGAUACAUACAUGGAAUCUGCGUAAGAGCUGCAUACUUAUGCGUGCAUUGACUCCCACACGGUGGCGUCCAUUGCUGCGGUAUCAUCUCUCUCUCCGAAGCAAAAAAAAAAAACAAAACAUAAAACUCUUCAGAAUAAAGCAAAGCGCUCUUCAUAUUUUUAAAAAUAAAAAUAAAAACAAUUCGUGUAAUAUACAAGUAAGGUAAAAAUCAUAUUUAAAAAAAAUCAAAAUCCAAUUUUCUACUUUAAAUCGUUGCAGGGUAAGUAAGUUCGAUGGUUUUUUCUUUGCGAUACCUAAAGAAGUAAACCAAAGUGAAAACCACAAGAAGCGCAACACCGGAGACGCCACAGAUGAUACUGGCCGCAAGAAACACGUGCCUCAUCACGUGAUCACGCUUGUUCGCAGCUCCGUCACGCCACCACGAGUCAUCGUCGCCGUCUGCUUCCGAAGCUUUUGGGAGGAGCUGAGGAGGAGGAGAAUGGGAAUCUCCGAAAAAGGACAUCACUAUACCGGGAGGUGAGUGAGAUUCAGUCGGUGGUGAGCUGAACUGAUACUGUAGACCAUGAUCGGAAGGUCGUAUGCCUUGGGAGAAUGAUUUUCCGGCGAAGAUGAAGACGAAUGAAACAGUGAACGUGAAGAUAGACGACGAUCUAACGCGGUUUAAGGGAAGAGCCAUGUGAGGGAGAGAGUUCUUUUUUUUUUUCAUGUGUAUUUUUCUCUUUAAAUUAUGUAGAUGAUGUUGAUGAGCUCAAACGACACCGUUUGUUAUGUGGGUUCAUAAAUGGUUAGGUGUGACAUACCACCACCAAGUCACCAACUCUUAAUCGACAAGAUUAGGUCAUGAUGUUCUUUUUGUUUCCUUCAUUAACAAGAAAUCAAGAUUUGCAACAAAAAAAGUAAAAAACACUCAUCUCAUUUUGACUAAUUUACUUCUGGAUUCAAUAUUGAGUUCUUUAGUUUAAUAUAAGUACUACAUGUUCAAAUUUCACAAUAUAACGUUUCUCUAUUGUGAUAUGUGAGUAAAAGAACUUGUAGAAGAUGAAUUAGAUAGCAAAAACCCAAAUAUCAAUAUCUAGUUUCAUUAAUAUGCCUUAUAGACUAAAACGUCACAAGAUCCAUCCACGGGACGAGGCCCACUAAUAUACUCUCCAUUAGCUACUCUGAACAUUAAUACUCCCUCAUGUCAGAUUACCAAAUGUUUGAAGAGUAUUGAGAAGUUAGUUCACAAAGCGUUUUGAUGUCAAGCAGAACUUGUAGGAACAUCCUCAUCAGAAGGAGGCUGCAUUGGUCUUUUAGCUCGAGGUGGUGGUUGUGGCUUUGGUGGCGGUGGUGGUGGUCUCUUUGGUUUCACCUUAUUGACUUCCUCAGAUUCAACUUCAAACU